UCUGGGAUUAGAUACCCUGUUAUUUGAAAUGUAAAUUAUUUACUUAGGUAGUAAUAGUUAUGUUCUUGAAACUUAAAAAAUUUGGCGGUAUUUUAGUCUAUUCAGAGGAACCUGUUCUGUAAUUGAUAAUCCACGUUGGACCUUACUUAAAUUUGUUUAGCAAUUUAUAUACCGUUGUUAUUAAAAUAUUUUUGAGAAUAAUAAUAUUUAAUAAUUUUGAUAAAAAUUUAUAUCAAAUCAAGGUGUAGUUUAUGUUUAAGUAGAAAUGGGUUACAAUAAAAGUAUUUAUUGGAUAUAAAUAUGAAAAAUUUAUUGAAAUUGGAUUUGAUUGUAAAAUUAUAAAGAUUAAUAAUUUGAUUUUAGCUCUAAAAUAUGUACAAAUCGCCCGUCACUCUCU
rnacentral:rRNA from 1 species